rnacentral:rRNA from 1 species
AUUGAACGCUGGCGGCAUGCCUUACACAUGCAAGUCGAACGGUAACAGGUCUUCGGAUGCUAACGAGUGGCGAACGGGUGAGUAAUACAUCGGAACGUGCCCGAUCGUGGGGGAUAACGAAGCGAAAGCUUUGCUAAUACCGCAUACGAUCUACGGAUGAAAGCAGGGGACCGCAAGGCCUUGCGCGAACGGAGCGGCCGAUGGCAGAUUAGGUAGUUGGUGGGAUAAAAGCUUACCAAGCCGACGAUCUGUAGCUGGUCUGAGAGGACGACCAGCCACACUGGGACUGAGACACGGCCCAGACUCCUACGGGAGGCAGCAGUGGGGAAUUUUGGACAAUGGGCGAAAGCCUGAUCCAGCCAUGCCGCGUGCAGGAUGAAGGCCUUCGGGUUGUAAACUGCUUUUGUACGGAACGAAAAGACUCUGGUUAAUACCUGGGGUCCAUGACGGUACCGUAAGAAUAAGCACCGGCUAACUACGUG